CAGUGCCCCACAAAGGCAGGCAAAGGCAGCCAAGGGGUGUGGUUCUGGAUGGGAGGUACUACUCAGCUUACCCUGCACAGGUGCGCUGAGUUAGCCCUGCAAUCAGAGGGCCUUUUUAACUCCACCAGAACAGGCUGAAGACAGACUGGCUGGAGGAGCGUGUGGAGACCAGAGACACGUUAGGCCAGUCUCGUGGCCUGCAGCUGAAGAGGAACCCCAACGACUCCUAGAGGAAACCCAAGCCGAGCUAGGGCAAAGAGGUCAGUGGCAGGGACCACAGACCCCACUAAACUUGGACUAUCUUUCUCUCUCUCUCUCUGGCCCCACCCCAGGAAGAGCCAGAAAGGGCACCCUGACGACAGCCGUCAACCCGGUGAAGAUUUGAGUUGCCUUUUGCCCCCUCCCUUUUCCCCCUGCACCUUUUUAUAAAUAAAUGACAUAAGUUGAUUUCACCGCAACCCCCGCUUCUGCCUGUUCUAUUCUGAUUGGUGAUCCCAGUGUUGUACCUCAGAGACCAGGCGCCCACAUAUGGUGGAGGAUGCGGGCAUUCUGAGUCCUCGCUAUCAGUGGGUGAACCGAUCGG